ACACACACACACACACACACACACACACACACAGAGCUGGUUUCCAGAAUUUAUUAAAGCAGCAGGAAGUGGAUGACGAAAACCAGAGUCCAUUUACCAGACGAGGUUGAAGGGAUGCAGGAACUGGCAGACAGGAACAGACAGGAACGGGUACAGGAGACAAACAGAAACUGUGUCAGAAACUAUUUCAUUGGACUUAUUUUGAGCGGUUCUUAAAGAUAGACAACAAGCUUGUAUGAAACAGUGUCACUGCUUUUAAAUUGUUUUUAUUGUUUUAUAUUUGUGCAUAUGUAUUAAUUGGUUUUAUUUUUGUAACCAGGUUGUAGUGUUUUUGCAGAUUUCUGCCCAGGUCCCCCUUGAAAAUGAGAUCCAGAUCUCAACGGGGUUUACCUGGUUAAAUAAAGGGAAAAAAAACAGGAACGAGACAGGCAUGGCGUACAGAGGACUGGAGACGAACCGGUGACCAUGGACAAACUGAGGUGUAGUUGCAUCUUCCUGCCAGCUGGAGCCACUGUGGAAACUUGAAGCCCUCCUGAAGUUCCCUCCUCCUAGUUCACCUUCAGCCACUUCCUUUUGUCAUCAUCCUCAUUCUGGAUUGGACACUCGCCUGAUUGCCUCACCAAUCCGUGUGGAGCACUCCUUAUUUAAACUCAGUUCUCCCAUGCAAUCAGGGCAGCUGUGUUUUAGAGCAGCUUGCCACACUGCCGGUUGUGUUUUGUUUGUUGUGAUGUGUUUUUGCUUUACUGUAACACUCGUUUAACCUGACUAUUGAAGGCUGUGUCACUCGUCUGGCAAUUUGCCGUGGCACUCGGUUUUAGCCUCUCAACUCCUGGUUGUGUUACUCGUCCCCUGUUUUCUGUGACACUUUGUUAACCUGUGUAUUGAAGGCUGUGUCACUCGUCUGGCAAUUUGCCGUGGCACUCGGUUUUAGCCUUUCAAUUCCUGGUUGUGUUACUAGUUUCAUGUUUUGGUUUUGUCUUGUGGUUUGUUUAGUGUUGAUGCUGGAAACAGCAUCAACACCUUAGUUCUUGUGGCCUUAAGUCAUCUUUGGGUUUCUUUUGUCAUUAGAUCAUGUCCUGUCCUUUUUGGUAGUGUACAUAUUGUUUCUAUAGCCAACUUAUCAAUAAAUUGUUACAUUUUUUCUCAUA